UACAAUCCAACCAGGGAAUAGCGGGAGUGUAGACGAUCUGGGACCUAGCUCUCCAAACAAAUUACGCUCCUGAAGCAAAAAGAAAGAGUAAAUCGGUGCUGCCUGUUGUGUGUAUUAUAUGUAAAAAACGUGACAGAUUUGUCACUGUUGGAGAAAAUAGGAAGAAGGGUGUAUUAACACAGACUCAGACCCAAACAGGCUCAGGCCAACUGUUGAAAGCUGCUGAAUUGAAAGAGGAUGAAGAUAUUUUAAGGCAUAUCAGAGGGCAAGAUUGUGUGGCCAUUGAGGUCAGAUAUCACCAAAAAUGUUAUAGGCAAUAUACAUGUACUGAAUUUCUUAGACAGUUAUCAGAAAGCAAAGAUGACUAGCCCUCCGUCGAAUAUUAAACCACAUACAAUAUAUUCUGUGAAGAUGUCAUAAGAGAAAGAAUCAUAAAUGGCCAGCAAAGUUGUCUUGUACAGAGAGAGAGAGAGAGAGAAAUGGGGUUUAACGUCCACUCAACACAAACUAGGUCAUUUUGGGACUAACAUACGGUUUCAAUUUUAUUUCAAUAAUUCGCUUGCGCGUAUGGGUCUUUAGCAGUGAGAGGAAACCGGAGUGCCCGGAGGAAACCCACGAGGUUGAGAAGACGCCUCUAUCUCCAUGCCACAUACGCUCACACCUGGGAUCAAAGCCACAGCCACAAGCCAGAGGUGACCGACCAGCUAGAGGUCGAAGCGCGGCACUCUAGGCCAUCCCAACCCCCCUUUCUUGUACAGACCUGUGCAUGUGUAGUCAAUGUGAAAAUGAAAAAAAAACUGUUAAAGAGACCGAAUUUGAUGUUAAUACAUUUAGUGACAGUGAUGAUGAUAAUGAAGAUUAACUUUGAUGACAUUUGAUGUGCAGAGUAACUGUUUAAUUUUGAUUUUCAAUGAUUGUUUCACUUUAAUAAAUAAUUUCACAACUGUUCAUCCUGUUUUCUAACCUUUCCCUUCAUUCCAGCCCAGAUACACAAUUAUUUUUUUUAACUUAUAUCUACAUGUAUGUUUGUAAUUUGACCAUUAAUCAUAUCCGAAAUAGUAGUUCACAGCUACAUGUACAGUUGUAAAAAUACUGUAGUGGCUAAUUGAAAGGGAACAUGUA